ACUUGAGGCCAAAGACAGGAAGGAAGUGAUUACCACAUUCAAAAUCUUAAAAAGAAAUGGCAUCACUCAAGGCUGAGAAACCUGUAGUACAACUGAAGAAAGAGCCUGCAGCUCCAAAAGCCAGUGGUACUACGCCCAAAGCAUGCGCUCCGGCCUCCAAAGCCGCCCCUAAGAAGGCUGAGACUAAGCCUAAGGAGCCUAGGAAGAGGACAACUGGAAGCAAACCGGCUGCAGCCAAGAAUUAAGCAGAACGAGGAUGACUGGUGCGAGGUGUGGAGUGCAUGAAGAUGUAGUUCAUCGUCGUCCUCCACAAUGUUUAAUAAAAUCAUUACCAGUACUACUUGGUUAUGAUUUAUAUCCAUGUUUCUCUUUGUAGCUUGAUCUUUUUAAUAAAAUAUCUAUGUUUUAA